UUCAUUGGAACAUGGCGUCAUAGAGGGUGAGAAUCCCGUAUGWGACUGUGGAUCGAGCCCAUUUGAAGCCUCUUCGACGAGUCGAGUUGUUUGGGAAUGCAKCUCAAAAUGGGUGGUAAAUUUCAUCUAAAGCUAAAUACUGGCUGGAGACCGAUAGCGCACAAGUAGAGUGAUCGAAAGAUGAAAAGCACUUUGGAAAGAGAGUCAAAAGUACGUGAAAUUGUUGAAAGGGAAGCGCUUGCAACCAGACCUGUCCGUAGGUGAUCAGCCGCUGUUCUCAGUGGUGCACUCGCUCUGCGAUCAGGCCAGCAUCGGUUCGGGCGGUCGGAUAAAGGCCUUGGGAAUGUAGCUCCCUUCGGGGAGUCUUAUAGCCCUCGGUGCAAUGCGGCCAGCCGGGACCGAGGACCGCGCUUCGGCUAGGAUGCUGGCGUAAUGGUUGUAAGCGACCCGUCUUGAAACACGGACCAAGGAGUCUAACAUCUAUGCGAGUGUUUGGGUGUUAAACCCAUGCGCGGAAUGAAAGUGAACGGAGGUGAGAACCCUUAAGGGCGCAUCAUCGACCGAUCCAGAUGUCUUCGGAUGGAUUUGAGUAUGAGCAUAGCUGUUGGGACCCGAAAGAUGGUGAACUAUGCCUSAAUAGGGUGAAGCCAGAGGAAACUCUGGUGGAGGCUCGCAGCGGUUCUGACGUGCAAAUCGAUCGUCAAAUUUGGGUAUAGGGGCGAAAGACUAUCGAC
rnacentral:rRNA from 1 species